CCUAAACACAUGCAAGUCGAACGGCAGCACAGUAAGAGCUUGCUCUUAUGGGUGGCGAGUGGCGGACGGGUGAGGAAUACAUCGGAAUCUACCUUUUCGUGGGGGAUAACGUAGGGAAACUUACGCUAAUACCGCAUACGACCUUCGGGUGAAAGCAGGGGACCUUCGGGCCUUGCGCGGAUAGAUGAGCCGAUGUCGGAUUAGCUAGUUGGCGGGGUAAAGGCCCACCAAGGCGACGAUCCGUAGCUGGUCUGAGAGGAUGAUCAGCCACACUGGAACUGAGACACGGUCCAGACUCCUACGGGAGGCAGCAGUGGGGAAUAUUGGACAAUGGGCGCAAGCCUGAUCCAGCCAUACCGCGUGGGUGAAGAAGGCCUUCGGGUUGUAAAGCCCUUUUGUUGGGAAAGAAAAGCAGUCGGCUAAUACCCGGUUGUUCUGACGGUACCCAAAGAAUAAGCACCGGCUAACUUCGUGCCAGCAGCCGCGGUAAUACGAAGGGUGCAAGCGUUACUCGGAAUUACUGGGCGUAAAGCGUGCGUAGGUGGUUGUUUAAGUCUGUUGUGAAAGCCCUGGGCUCAACCUGGGAAUUGCAGUGGAUACUGGGCGACUAGAGUGUGGUAGAGGGUAGUGGAAUUCCCGGUGUAGCAGUGAAAUGCGUAGAGAUCGGGAGGAACAUCCAUGGCGAAGGCAGCUACCUGGACCAACACUGACACUGAGGCACGAAAGCGUGGGGAGCAAACAGGAUAAACC
rnacentral:rRNA from 1 species